UGAGGAACAUGACCUUCGGCGGGGGAUAGCCGGCCCAACGGCCGGGUAAUACCGCGUACGACCUUUCGGGGACAUCCCCGGCUGGUGAAAGCAGCAAUGCGCCGAAGGAGUGCCUCGCGGCCUAUCAGCUAGUUGGUGAGGUAACGGCUCACCAAGGCGACGACGGGUAGCUGGUCUGAGAGGAUGGCCAGCCACAUUGGGACUGAGACACGGCCCAGACUCCUACGGGAGGCGG
rnacentral:rRNA from 1 species